rnacentral:rRNA from 1 species
GGCUCAGGAUGAACGCUAGCGGGAGGCUUAACACAUGCAAGUCGAGGGGCAGCAUAAGGUAGCAAUACUUUGAUGGCGACCGGCGCACGGGUGAGUAACGCGUAUGUAACCUACCCUGUACAGGGGGAUAGCCCGGAGAAAUUCGGAUUAAUACCCCAUAAUGAUAUUGAGAGGCAUCUUUUAAUAUUUAAAGUUUCGGCGGUACGGGAUGGGCAUGCGUGACAUUAGCUAGUUGGUAGGGUAACGGCCUACCAAGGCUGCGAUGUCUAGGGGUCCUGAGAGGGUGAUCCCCCACACUGGUACUGAGACACGGACCAGACUCCUACGGGAGGCAGCAGUGAGGAAUAUUGGUCAAUGGGCGCAAGCCUGAACCAGCCAUCCCGCGUGCAGGAAGAAGGCGCUAUGCGUCGUAAACUGCUUUUCCAGGGGAAGAAAACCUGAUACGUGUAUCGGCUUGCCGGUACCCUGGGAAUAAGCAUCGGCUAACUCCGUGCCAGCAGCCGCGGUAAUACGGAGGAUGCGAGCGUUAUCCGGAUUUAUUGGGUUUAAAGGGUGCGUAGGCGGAUUAAUAAGUCAGUGGUGAAAACCUUCAGCUUAACUGGAGACUUGCCAUUGAUACUGUUAGUCUUGAGUACGGUCAAGGUAGGCGGAAUGUGUAAUGUAGCGGUGAAAUGCUUAGAUAUUACACAGAACACCGAUUGCGAAGGCAGCUUACUGGGCCAUUACUGACGCUGAUGCACGAAAGCGUGGGGAGCGAACAGGAUUAGAUACCCUGGUAGUCCACGCCGUAAACGAUGAUCACUCGCUGUUAGCGAUACACAGUUAGCGGCUAAGCAAAAGCAUUAAGUGAUCCACCUGGGGAGUACGGCCGCAAGGCUGAAA